rnacentral:lncRNA from 1 species
AUCUCCUUUAGCCAACCCCCCCCCCAACCCCUGGAGUUAAAUGCUUUGAAUGCAUGGCUUCAUUCAUAACAAGAAUGUUGCAAGCAAUACAAAGAUUGCAAUUUUCCAGGUAGGAAGACUGAGGCCGAGAGAGAUACAGAAUGGAAUGGACCGGGUAAAGAUGGGAAAAGAGAGGCACAAGAAGACUGGGUAACAUGCUAUGUCUGCUUGCACAGAAGAGAAGCUGGGCUUCGAUGCCUGCUUGCCUCACACCAGAGCAUGGACUGGACUGUGACUCCGCAUCAUCUCUGCGUUGGAUGGAAGAGAAGUUGCUCAUUCUCCUCGAGAGACUGGGUUUCAACACGGCAGGCAGAGAACAUGGAGAAUCACAGAACAAAGUGAGGCAUGCAGUGAUGAAUGCCAGGCUCAUCCAGCAUUGCAGACAGACCUGACAGCUCCAUCCAUACAGCAAGCCAAAUUCAAAAUCACUCAUGAAGCAGCCUUCCAAUGCAGCCAGGCAACGGGGCAGAACAGACUGCAGACCUGUCCCCAGUUCUGGCUAAGUUACUUGUAAACACUGCAUUGAGUGUAAUUAUAUGGGUCUCCAUCAGGGGAAGAAAUGUUGUUGCUAUUGGGACUUUUUCUUGUCUCUUCCUGUUGUGGUAGGAGACUGCACAGGUCAAGGUGAGCACCUGACUUGUGUAGGUGAUGACAUCAAGGGCAGGAUCACACCAACAAGCUUAGGAAGCCCAGAAAGUAAAUACAACUUACAAGGUGCAGGAAGGUCCUAAGACUGCAAGGUUCAUGUGGCCCCACCCUGUGAUUAUAUAAAUAAUUACAACUGCUGGAGAGAGGACACACUAGCUGGUCUAGUCUGAUUGUUGGCAAGGUGUACAGAGAGCUCCAGGAUUGUGGCUUUUAUGAAUUUUCCAUCAUGCUGGGAUGAGAUUUCCACUAUCUUUGAGUCACCCAUGCUUCUGUAAGCCACCCCUCAUCUAGGUACCUGUAAGUUAUUCCCCAAUAAGCUCACUGGUUCAUUCAAUCAGACUUGAGUGAAACCACUUCUGUGACCUUUUAUUGGUGGCCUAGCUGGAGCGACUACCCAUUAGAUGACAUUUCCUUAGAAAACGUCAUGAGGCAUAAUCACC